rnacentral:rRNA from 1 species
UACAGAGGUCUCAAGCGUUGUUCGGAUUCAUUGGGCGUAAAGGGUGUGUAGGUGGCGCCGUAAGUCGGGUGUGAAAUUUCGGAGCUUAACUCCGAAACUGCAUUCGAUACUGCGGUGCUUGAGGACUGGAGAGGAGACUGGAAUUCAUGGUGUAGCAGUGAAAUGCGUAGAUAUCAGGAGGAACACCGAUGGCGAAGGCAGGUCUCUGGGCCACUACUGACGCUGAGAAGCGAAAGCAUGGGGAGCGAACAGG